UACAGAGGUCUCAAGCGUUGUUCGGAAUCACUGGGCGUAAAGGGUGCGCAGGCCGCGCGGGCAGUCAAAUGUGUAAUUCAGGGGCUCAACCCCUGCACUGCGCUUGAUACUUCCGCGCUAGAACUUUGGAGAGGGAUCUGGAAUUCUCGGUGUAGCAGUGAAAUGCGUGGAUAUCGAGAAGAACACUAAGGGCGUAGGCAAGAUCCUGGACAAAUGUUGACGCUCAUGCACGAAGGCUAGGGGAGCGAACGGG
rnacentral:rRNA from 1 species